AGAGUUUGAUUCUGGCUCAGGAUGAACGCUGGCGGCGUGCUUAACACAUGCAAGUCGAACGAAGCAUUUAAAACAGAUUAUUUCGGUAUGAAGUUUUUUAUGACUGAGUGGCGGACGGGUGAGUAACGCGUGGGUAACCUGCCUUGUACUGGGGGAUAGCAGCUGGAAACGGCUGGUAAUACCGCAUAAGCGCACGAUGUCGCAUGACAUAGUGUGAAAAACUCCGGUGGUAUAAGAUGGACCCGCGUCUGAUUAGCUAGUUGGUGAGAUAACAGCCCACCAAGGCGACGAUCAGUAGCCGACCUGAGAGGGUGACCGGCCACAUUGGGACUGAGACACGGCCCAG
rnacentral:rRNA from 1 species